ensembl:miRNA
CAGAGCUUAGCUAAUUGGUGAGCAUUGAUCCCUGCUAUGUGUUGUUCACAGUGGCUAAGUUCAGU